rnacentral:rRNA from 1 species
AGUGAACGCUGGCGGUAGGCCUAACACAUGCAAGUCGAACGGCAGCACAGUAAGAGCUUGCUCUUACGGGUGGCGAGUGGCGGACGGGUGAGGAAUACAUCGGAAUCUACUUUUUCGUGGGGGAUAACGUAGGGAAACUUACGCUAAUACCGCAUACGACUUACGGGUGAAAGCAGGGGAUCUUCGGACCUUGCGCGAUUGAAUGAGCCGAUGUCGGAUUAGCUAGUUGGCGGGGUAAAGGCCCACCAAGGCGACGAUCCGUAGCUGGUCUGAGAGGAUGAUCAGCCACACUGGAACUGAGACACGGUCCAGACUCCUACGGGAGGCAGCAGUGGGGAAUAUUGGACAAUGGGCGCAAGCCUGAUCCAGCCAUACCGCGUGGGUGAAGAAGGCCUUCGGGUUGUAAAGCCCUUUUGUUGGGAAAGAAAAGCAGCAGGUUAAUACCCCGCUGUUCUGACGGUACCCAAAGAAUAAGCACCGGCUAACUUCGU